rnacentral:rRNA from 1 species
CUUGGUCAUUUAGAGGAAGUAAAAGUCGUAACAAGGUUUCCGUAGGUGAACCUGCGGAAGGAUCAUUAAUGAAAUUUAUGACUGGAGUUGUAGCUGGCCUUUAAAAACGGCAUGUGCACGCUCCUUUCACUAAUCCACACACACCUGUGCACCUUCGCGGGGGUCUCUUCGUUAACUCGAAGAGGCUCGCGUCCCUUUACACACCCUUUGUAUGUCUUAAGAAUGUCUACUCGAUGUAAUAAAACGCAUCUAAUACAACUUUCAACAACGGAUCUCUUGGCUCUCGCAUCGAUGAAGAACGCAGCGAAAUGCGAUAAGUAAUGUGAAUUGCAGAAUUCAGUGAAUCAUCGAAUCUUUGAACGCACCUUGCGCCCUUUGGUAUUCCGAAGGGCACACCUGUUUGAGUGCCGUGAAAUUCUCAACCCUCUUCACUUUUGUGAACGUAGCGGAUUGGACUUGGAGGCUUUGCCGGGCUUCACCGCUCGGCUCCUCUCAAAUGCAUUAGUGCGUCUUGUUGCGACGUGCGCCUCGGUGUGAUAAUUAUCUACGCUGUGGUGUGCUUGCUUCUGUGGAGACGCGCUUUCUAACCGUCCGAAAGGACAGCUUUCAUCGAACUUUGACCUCAAAUCAGGUGGGACUACCCGCUGAACUUAAGCAUAUCAAUAAGCGGAGGA